rnacentral:misc_RNA from 1 species
UGGCUCUCGCAUCGAUGAAGAACGCAGCGAAAUGCGAUAAGUAGUGUGAAUUGCAGAAUUCAGUGAAUCAUCGAAUCUUUGAACGCACCUUGCGCUCCUUGGUAUUCCGAGGAGCAUGCCUGUUUGAGUGUCAUUAAAUUAUCAAUCCUUUUGUUUAAUCAAUUGGAUUGGAAUUGGGGGUUUUUGCUGGUUUCUUUACUGAAUAUCAGCUCUCCUAAAAUAUAUUAGCAGGUUGCCUUAGCUUGUCUUAUUGGUGUGAUAAGUUAUCUACGCUGUGGACUUGUUUACUAUGCAACUGCUUCCAAUUGUCUGUUUAAUCAGACAAAUUUUUUAUAUUUGACCUCAAAUCAGGUAGGAUUACCCGCUGA